rnacentral:rRNA from 1 species
GGAAUUUUCCGCAAUGGGCGAAAGCCUGACGCGGCGACGCCGCGUGGAGGAAGAAGGCCUUCGGGUCGUAAACUCCUGUCAAGAGGGACGAAUCCGGUUGACGGUACCUCUGAAGGAAGCCCCGGCUAACUCCGUGCCAGCAGCCGCGGUAAUACGGAGGGGGCAAGCGUUGUUCGGAAUUAUUGGGCGUAAAGGGCACGUAGGCGGUCAAGCAAGUUGGUGGUGAAAGCCCUCGGCUCAACCGAGGAAUUGCCCCCAAAACUGCUUGACUUGAGUCCCGGAGAGGGUGGCGGAAUUCCCAGUGUAGCGGUGAAAUGCGUAGAUAUUGGGAGGAACACCAGUGGCGAAGGCGGUCACCUGGACGGGUACUGACGCUGAGGCGCGAAAGCGAGGGGAGCAAACAGGAUUAGAUACCCCAGUAGUC